rnacentral:rRNA from 1 species
GUGCCARRCCGCCGCGGUAAUACGUAGGGUGCAAGCGUUAAUCGGAAUUACUGGGCGUAAAGCGUGCGCAGGCGGUUUUGUAAGUCUGUCGUGAAAGCCCCGGGCUCAACCUGGGAAUUGCGAUGGAGACUGCAAGGCUUGAAUCUGGCAGAGGGGGGUAGAAUUCCACGUGUAGCAGUGAAAUGCGUAGAGAUGUGGAGGAACACCGAUGGCGAAGGCAGCCCCCUGGGUCAAGAUUGACGCUCAUGCACGAAAGCGUGGGGAGCAAACAGGAUUAGAUACCCUGGUAGUCCACGCCCUAAACGAUGUCUACUAGUUGUCGGGUUUUAAUUAACUUGGUAACGCAGCUAACGCGUGAAGUAGACCGCCUGGGGAGUACGGUCGCAAGAUUAAAAACUCAAAGGAAUUGACGG